AUCCAGCUGACGAGUCCGGAAUAGGACGAAACGUGCACCCUGGAU
rnacentral:hammerhead_ribozyme from 1 species